AGAAAACCCACGAUUCCACCUGAAGAGAAAUAACUCCCCAGUUCCCCCACCUAACACCCUUCUUUCUUCGAUUGUGCAUUCUAAAAGAAAAAGAAAUCAAUACUUCGAAAUUGUUUCCUCAGAGAAGAUAAAUCUUUCAAAUUUGGACUGAGGAAAUCCAUCAAUUUCUUCCUUAUCUGCAAGAUUUCAUCUGGUACGAAUGUCAGUAAGAAAUUCAAUUACUUAUUCCUUUGAUAUCCUGGUACGAAUGUCAUAACUUUUGAGUUUCAUUUAGAUCCAAAGUUUGCUAUAACAUAUUAGGUCUUUGUUUAUCCGCAUGGUACAUGAUUCCAAUUUAAGUGUAAUAUGUCUAUGCAAAACCCAUUAUGCAUGUGUUUCUAACUUAGUCAAAUACUGCAUUUAGUUAUUCUUAAGAAUGGUUCUGCUUGCAGUAGAUGUGCAUCUGGAUGUGUAUCAAGGAUUCAUUCUUAUGAAACCACCUGUUUGUGGGUAGGUUGUAUAUUUAAUUAUCAGCAAUAUUUUAUGUAAGUUGCUUUUUUGUUUGGUAUUCUCACUCUAGGAGUGAAGGAAAAACAACGACCUCUUGUUUGUCGUAAGAGUAGUUUUAAUAUGCAAAAAAACUUUCUAUACAAAUAAUGUUGUUCAUCAAUUGUACACCUUUUGAAAGAACUUGUGUAGGUAGAGAGAAACUAAUUACAGAUUACGUUCGUUUGAGUAUGGCAACGGAGGCAAGUGUACUAGCUAGAAAAAAAAAGAGAAACAAUAUAGCAGUACUUGGAAACAGUGUUACUUGGUAGAAGAGAGCAAACGACCUACCAGAAAUUUUUUGAUUGCAAAGGAGUUUCUUUGUCAUCGGUUUGCUGAAUAUUUAACUGUUCUAAUUUAGAAUAUAUAUCCUUGUUUGCAUUGGUACUAAGUCAAGUUAUUUCGAUGAUGCAGGGAUAGGUUUGGAUUCUCAAUUCUGAAUUCUAACAUUCUUCUCAAGGAAAACUCAUUACUUGGCUUUAAUUCUCUAGUAUGUUAUUUGGUUUUUUAGAAUGUCAUCACAAUCAUUAGUGUACGUAGUUAUUCUUUGUGGUUCUUACAGGGACACGGGUGACGACCAAUAACCUCCAGCAACAAAGAAAUCAAGAGGCAUUGCUAAGUUAAAUUUUCUUACCAAGUUGAAAAAAAGGCGAGAAAGUGCCACCAGAAUUUUGCCAGCGUGAAUCAGUUAGCCCGAACACAAGAGUAAGAUCUCGACUUACUGUAGAAAACUGGCACAAAAUGGAGAAAACUUCCCUUUUGACAUUCAUGACUGGUCUGAAAUUCCAGAGAAGCAAGAAAAAAUUGAAGAGCUUAAGAUCAGUGUUUGGGUGGAGAAGAAAAUUCAUGAAAAAUGGAAUGCAAACAAACGUAAUAUGAUGGUGCAGCAUUGCAAUGAGGAAAAAAUUGUUACACAAAACAAAGCUAAGGAAGUUAUUGAUACUAAGGUAUUCCCCUGAACUCCAGGAAGGGAAGAUUUGGAAGAGAAUCGUUCCGAUAAUGAUAUUUCAAUCCUAGAGGUCACUUCUCGUGACCAGCUGAGGUAUUCUAAAACUGUAGGAGCUGAGAAACCAGGUCGGAUUCUGUGAUGUUUGCUCAGUUAUUAAACUAAAUAAGCUUAAGGUGGCAUCUUCUUCAAUUUUUGGCCAAAAUAAAAAGGAGAACGUGGCAUUGGGAGAUGAAAUUAAGAAGUUGAAAGAGGAUCAGGUUGAUAUGCAAGAAGAAUGUCUUCAGAUGGAUUAAACUGUAGAGGGGAUGAAAAAGGAAAAUGAGAAAUCACAACAAAAAAAUAGAUGCGCUAUUGCAACUACUAACUGGUGAGGAUGCAUUAAAAGAUAUAUUAAGGUUAUGUCAGAUGAUGUAUGUUGGUUAACUUUAGAAGCAAGGAAUGUUAGAGCAUCCAUUGGCAAUACUGUACUAUCAGAUGAUGUAUGUUGAUUGUUAUUUUUCGUUUUUUCAUGUUAUUCUCCUAAAUAACUUGACUGAAAUACUGUACUAUCUAAUUUUUUAUUUUCCUUUGUUGAAUGUAAUCAAUCAACAAUUUUGUAUUAUUUGAUGUUUUAUUUUGAAUGAAUGAACUCUCUUGAAAUUUUU